UCGUAAAGCAACAAAAAAAUUGGAGUUAUCCAACGUAUCUAUACAAUAUUUGCUAAUUCUACUAAGAGAUGGAAAAUUAUCAAAGAUAACAUACUAGGAUUGACUCUCAAGUCAUUAUCAUCUACUCGUUGGGAGAGUUGUGUUGAUAGUGUUCAGGCUAUAAGGUUUCAGCUAUCAGAAAUAAGGGAGGCCUUACUACAAGUGGCUGAAAGUGAUAAGGAUUCUUCGACACAAAGUGAAGCUCAAUCAUUGGGGAAGAAUGAACUUGGUGGCUUUGAUUUUUUAGUAUGA
rnacentral:rRNA from 1 species